UACAGAGACUGCAAGCGUUAUUCGGAUUCACUGGGCGUAAAGCGCACGCAGGCGGAUCGUUAAGUCAGGGGUGAAAUCCCGAGGCUCAACCUCGGAACUGCCUCUGAUACUGGCGAUCUUCGAGUCCGGGAGAGGUGAGUGGAACUCCGAGUGUAGAGGUGAAAUUCGUAGAUAUUCGGAAGAACACCAGUGGCGAAGGCGGCUCACUGGCCCGGUACUGACGCUCAGGUGCGAAAGCGUGGGGAGCAAACAGG
rnacentral:rRNA from 1 species